UGCCAGCCGCCGCGGUAAUACAGAGGGUGCAAACGUUGCUCGGAAUAACUGGGCGUAAAGAGCAUGUAGGCGGCCUAGUAAGUCAGAGGUGAAAGUUUGCAGCUUAACUGUAAAAUUGCCUUUGAUACUGUUAGGCUUGAAUUAGGCUGAGGUCAGCGGAAUGAGUCAUGUAGCGGUGAAAUGCAUAGAUAUGACUUAGAACACCAAUUGCGAAGGCAGCUGGCUAGACCUAUAUUGACGCUGAGGCACGAAAGCGUGGGGAGCGAACAGGAUUAGAUA
rnacentral:rRNA from 1 species